GACGAACGCUGGCGGCGUGCUUACCACCUGCAAGUCGAACGGUAAGGCCCCGCUUUUGUGGUGUGCUCGAGUGGCGAACGGCUGCGUAACAAGUGCGUAACCUGCCCCUGACUCUGGGAUAACUUCAGGCAACUGGGGCUAAUACCGGAUACGAGCUCCUGCUGCCAGGUGGGGGGUGGAACGUUUCAGCGGUUGGGGAUGGACUCGCGGCUUAUCAGCUUGUUGGGAGGGUAGUGGCUUACCAAGGCUUUGACGGGUAGCCGGCCUGAGAGGGUGACCGGCCACGUUGGGACUGAGAUACGGCCCAGACUCAUACGGGAGGCAGCAGUGGGGAAUAUUGCACAAUGGGCGGAAGCCUGAUGCAGCAACGCCGCGUGCGGGAUGACGGCCUUCGGGUUGUAAACCGCUUUCGCCUGUGACGAAGCGUGAGUGACGGUAAUGGGUAAAGAAGCACCGGCUAACUACGUGCCAGCAGCCGCAGUAAAAC
rnacentral:rRNA from 1 species